rnacentral:tRNA from 1 species
GUUAAUGUAGCUUAAAUAAAGCAAGGUACUGAAGAUACCUAGAUGAGUAUGUCAACUCCAUAAACA